rnacentral:piRNA from 1 species
UGCUCAACAUACACUGGACCUCUGACAU